UUUUCUCCCAUUUUUUUUUACUUCAUUCUUUAAAAAGUCGAGAAGAAAGGAGGAAGGCUCCGCAUACUUAAAUUGAAAAAAAAGGGU
rnacentral:ribozyme from 1 species